rnacentral:rRNA from 1 species
CCUUAAUGGAGAGUUUGAUCCUGGCUCAGGACGAACGCUGGCGGCGUGCCUAAUACAUGCAAGUCGAGCGGAUCUGUUCCUUCGGGGAUAGGUUAGCGGCGGACGGGUGAGUAACACGUAGGCAACCUGCCUGUAAGAUCGGGAUAACUACCGGAAACGGUAGCUAAGACCGGAUAGCUGGUUUCUUCGCAUGGAGAGAUCAUGAAACACGGUGCAAGCUGUGACUUACAGAUGGGCCUGCGGC